rnacentral:lncRNA from 1 species
UUGGUUUGUGGCCACACGAUUUUGUUUUUGCUGAGAAUUUUCUUUUUUUAUUCCUCUUUUGUUGAUUUGUGUUAUUUCAUUUCCCUAUUUUUGAUGGAUUGACUCAGAUUUGCAAUCCACAAGGAUGCCUUAAUUUUUUCCUAAGUCACCUAUCUUGGAGCUUUUAACUUAGUGGGCUUUUUUAUUUUAUUUUUUAUUU